rnacentral:rRNA from 1 species
UACGUAGGGGGCUAGCGUUGUCCGGAAUCAUUGGGCGUAAAGCGCGUGUAGGCGGUCCGGUAAGUCCGCUGUGAAAGUCGGGGGCUCAACCCUCGAAUGCCGGUGGAUACUGUCGGGCUAGAGUGCGGAAGAGGCGAGUGGAAUUCCUGGUGUAGCGGUGAAAUGCGCAGAUAUCAGGAGGAACACCGGUGGCGAAGGCGGAUCUCUGGGCCUACCUGACGCUGAGGCGCGAAAGCUAGGGGAGCGAACAGG